rnacentral:misc_RNA from 1 species
GAAAUGCGAUAAGUAAUGUGAAUUGCAGAAUUCAGUGAAUCAUCGAAUCUUUGAACGCACAAUGCGCCCGCCAGUAUUCUGGCGGGCAUGCCUGUUCGAGCGUCAUUUCAACCAUCAAGCCCCGCGCUUGUGUUGGGGACCUGCGGCUGCCGCAGGCCCUGAAAACCAGUGGCGGGCUCGCUGUCACACCGGGCGUAGUAGAUUUUAUCUCGCUCAGGGCGUGCUGCGGGUUCCGGCCGUUAAAAAGCCUUUUUUACCCAAGGUUGACCUCGGAUCAGGUAGGAAGACCCGCUGAACUUAAGC